GGCCAGGUAUUGUUCCGGCUCACGUUUGACGACUGGUCGCUUGGUUUUUGGGAGCGAAAGGUUGUCCGCAUUGUGUAUAUUGGCCCGGGACUUCUGUCCGGUUUGUCUUGCUAGGACCCGUCUUCCUUCGAGGAUGUCGCGCAUAAUUUGUACUAGGAUGUCCUAUGCCAUCGCCCUCGCGAGUUGUUCUCUGACGUCCUCGGCUCGUAGUGGGGGGCUGUGGGGCGACUGGGCCAUUGGCUGUUUUGCGCCUCGCUGAGCAUGGCUUGGGCUUUAUUGAGGGUGGCCCAAGCUUCUAAGUCUAUCCAGACUCCUUGGAAGCAAUUCUCCACUUCUUGAAUUGUGAGGAAUUAGCUUGCAUAUAAGGUCUGGCCUUGUCUCUUCCUUUCUUUUUUCAGCGUGAUGUUUAUCCAUCGUAUCUGUUCCAGUGCCGUGGCUACUUUUUUCCCUAUGGUUUUGAAGUUGGUGUUGUUUAUUGCAUCUUUCCAUACAUUCGUGAAUUUUUCUUUCACUUUCGCAUCAUGUACGUGUCUUCAAUUGAAGUGAGUCUGUUUGGGCUUCUUCUUCCUCACAAAAUGGAUUAAGAGGAAUGCGGCCAAGUGGCUUGAUAUGUAUGUAAUUUGUAGCCAGAUGGCAUGUGUUUCCCUUUGUUCAUGUAAUUCAUAGCUUGUAUAGAAUUUGUCAAUUCUAUACCAAUUGGGUGUAGGAUUUUUUUUUCUAUAUAAAACCUUUGGUCUCGAUUUGACAAUAUGUAUCCAUGUGGAAAGUGUCAAGGAUGUCGAGGUGUAUCGUGGAACUGAUCCAUGUCGCUUGUUCUCUUCAAUCCAUGCCAAGUAUAUUGGGUCCUUGAGGUGUUGAGGUCAAUGAAGACCUUGUUGAAACUUCUCCCACUAUUGGGAACAGUAUGGAGAAUAUCCCAUACCAUGUGAUCUGAGUGUUGGAGUGUGGGAUGAAUAGCACCGAUCAAAGAAAUUCCUUUGAGAGUGCUGUGGUUUGAUGUCCCCUUUUUUGUGCCUCUUUCAAGUCUCUGCUUAUUGGUUCUAAUUGGAAGUGGAUUUUUCCCUGUUGUUUCUUCCUCCACACAAAUUGGAACCCCUCUAUGUAGUGUAUGAUGUGGGGUUGAUGGCUAGUAUUUUUGUUUGUGGAUAUUCUGCUUAUUAAGUGAAUUUGGCGAUUGGUUGAUGUCCCUCUUCUUUCUUGUGGUGGCUUCAUGGUGGUAAAGUUCAGGUAUGUGGGUUGGGCGGAUUCAGGGUCUGAGUUUCUUUCUUGUGUAAUCACUGAUUUUAGCUUAUAUAGUGUUGGUGAGAUUGAGUUAGUGUGUUAUUCUUACGUGUUGGUGUGAGGAAGGUCCUUUCUCGAUGUUGAUGUUACCUUUUGUAUAGGUGGUUUCUUCCCUCCAUUCUAGGUGUUCCAUGGCAUCUAACGGGGUUGGCAAUUUUCUUGUUCUCUAUGGAGGACUUGUCUCUCUUUUUUUCCAUUGGAUGGUCUCGAUUUACAACCUAUGGCCUGGUGUCCAAAUAUUCGAUACUUGGUACACUAGAGAAGGUGUCCUGAUAUAAUAUGACUUUUUGUAUAAGUUGAGCCUCUGGAAAUGGUCAUAGUAAUCUGAUUUUGGUCAAGAGCUUGUCUGUGUCCCAGACUUGGAUUUUGAUUCUUAGUCUGGCUGUUUUGUGUAUGUCGGAAGAGGCUUCUUCUAUGAAAAGUAUCUCUUCCAAUGGAGAGGCUAUGAUUCAGAGACAGGGCUCUUGCCAUACAUAAUAAUUCAGACUUAAAAACUAAAUCCAGACUAGGAAUGCAAGGAACUUGUAUGUUUCCCUAUUAUUUGCUAAAAAUAAUAGAAUAUUUGAGAUGGCUGGAUUGUACAGGCGUCUAGUCGAUGUUGCUUUUUGCAAGGCUGUACCUAUUUGAAAAUAGGGCUCUAAUGUUAUCGGGGCUACUACUAGAGUGUGGCCUUGGCUGGUUUUUUGAGCACUAGUUCCUCAGAGAGGGGAUGGUGCCCUAGGUUGUUGUCAUUAGGUUUUCUAUAUUAAUGCCCUAAUUUUUUACUAACCAUGUUUUAGUGGGAUUUGAAGGAUUUUGGUAGCAAAAAAAGAUAGCCAAAGUAUUCAUAUAAAUGAAUAAAUAUGGAUAAUAUAAAUCUCUAUUCUUAUUGGUCAAAAAUUAUGACCAAUGGGCUUCAAAGAGGUUACCAGAGGCUAUAUUAAAAAUUAGGGUUAGUCUUUUGAAGGCAUUUAAAUAUUAGAGGUUAGAAUUGGCAAAUUCGAGUUUUUGGCUAUGGUUUUUGGUAUAAAAUUUGAAUCAUUUGGAGUUUUUACGAAGGAGAUAUAGACACUCAAAGUCAAGGUGUCAGUUUUAUAUCUACUUUCAUUCUUUUAGAUAUAACAAAUAUGUACAAAAAGCAAUUAAAGAUCAGC